UACGAAGGGGGCUAGCGUUGCCCGGAAUCACUGGGCGUAAAGCGCACGUAGGCGGAUUGUUAAGUCAGGGGUGAAAUCCUGGAGCUCAACUCCAGAACUGCCUUUGAUACUGGCAAGCUUGGAGUCCGGGAGAGGUGAGUGGAACUGCGAGUGUAGAGGUGAAAUUCGUAGAUAUUCGCAAGAACACCAGUGGCGAAGGCGGCUCACUGGCCCGGUACUGACGCUGAGGUGCGAAAGCGUGGGGAGCAAACAGG
rnacentral:rRNA from 1 species